UGCUCUCCCCGAGGCGCCGGGUUCGCGCCGCAGUCGCCGUCCGGCGGUGCGUGAGGCCGGCAGGCAGCAGGGGCGGGUGGCGCCGGGUGGUUGCUGGGGCCGGCGGCCGGGAGCGUGAAAGGUUUUUAGCAGCCGGAGGAGUUUGGUGGAAGGCGGCGGGGGACUGGCGAAUCCGGCAGCGCUGGGCUACGCUCGGUGGCUUAGGGGAGCUCCGAGGCGCGGUUUGGGAAGGUGAAGCAGAUUUUCCCUUCCAAAAUGACUUUUCGAGCUCUGUUUUUUUGUCUGGCUUGUGCUGGGCUUGGAAAGGCAAAUGUGGUUUCGCAGGCUGAACACAGAAAUGUGAAGGUGGGCGACAGCGUGACUCUCAGCUGUGCCCUGACAGAACCCAAGGAUGUUCUGCAAGUGACGUGGCAAAAGGACUCUGAAAAAUCACACAAUAACAUAGCUACGUACAGUACCAUAAAAGGAUUAAAGAUUCAUGAGCCCUAUCAAGACCGAAUGAAUUUCACAAGCCUGGUACUCAAUGAGACAAGCAUCACUUUUUGGGACACUAGAAUGGAUGAUUCGGGGUGUUACACGUGUCUCUUCAAUGCUUUCCCUUUCGGCUCCUUCUCGGGACGUACCUGCCUGAGUGUUUCUGGUCUCAAUGCGUCUGUCCAUUACAACAUUUCCGAAGGUCAUUUGAUAGCCACCUGUAAUGCUGUUGGCCUCCCAGAGCCCACCGUCACCUGGAACAACUUGUUCAAUUCUACUCCUACACAGGAGACAAUCAGGUACACCAAUGGGGUGGUGUCCAUCACCAGUAAACUGGAGAUCAACAACACUCGGAGCAUCAGUGUUCAGGACUUGACCUGCAGAGUAAACAACGUGAAUGAAAAAAUAGAAUUGCCUGUGAAAAUUAAAGGAGAGGAGGGGUCCUCGUUGCUUUUGCUGAUGAUUAUUGUGCCUCUUUUAAUUCUCAUCGCAGUUAUAAUUCUGAUUGUGCUGUGCCGGAGGAAGAGGAUAUGCAGGAGGGGUUGAAGUGAGCACUGAAAGACAGACGAUGGUGGAGCCAAUCCCCCUGGGCAGAAGAAAGAUCCUGAACCUGCUCCAUAUGACAUGGGAUGCCAUCAACACUGGGCUAUAGGGCAGAAGAGGAACUACGGCAAGAAGCAGACACAAUUGCAGGAAUUAUGGAGGAUUAUAGGUGAGAGUUUAACUCUGUGAAGAGGAACUUAAGGAGGCCACUUCUUUGUGUGAUGGAGUGGGUUUUGAGGGGAGUGUAAGUCAGAAGCCAGCUGCACUUUGAGGUGCAAUAGAACCCCCUCUCUCCGGAGAGCCUGUGCUUGCAGAAACCUGACAUGGGGCUUCUUCAGAUUUUUGCUGCCUGUAUGAACUCGCCUGUUUCCAGGAGAACUGCUCUAAUACCUAAUGCUGGUGGUUUUGUUGAUUGGCUUUUGUGCUAAAAAAAAACCCAAGACCCAUGCAAAUUCUCACGUUUUCAUGAUGAUCUCUGUUGAUAUAACUUUGGUUCUAGAUAUGACUUUAUUUCUAGGUAAUAGGGUCAAAUAGAAAUAUGUGGAAAUACAGAUGUUAGUUUUCAUUCUUGCAGAAAACCUUGAAGAGUACUCCAGGUUCCUCAUUAGGGCACAUGUAGUCAUAUUUUAUCAUCUAUUUUAAGAUGAGCAUGCAUAUGUAUGUACAACUAGUACUUAACUUUCUGUGCAAUUUUCUGACUUCUGUGAUGUGAUCCCGAGAUGAUUCCAGCUUUGAGGUUACUCUGAGUAGCCCUUCUCCCUAGACAAGAUCUUCCACUGAAAAACAGAAUGACUUUUAAAUUCGAAAAUGUAUGUUUGGUUAGUAUCUAAACAAGGAGCCUUCACCUUCUAGAAAGAGAAAAUUGAGGUGACAGACAGAAGUAAAGGGCCUGUGUACAUCUCGUUCCUACCUUGUGGUGUCCUUGCAGGCAGGUCCUUGCUUCCAGGUUUGAUUUCAGAUAACUCUGUGUUUUUCUGCCUUGCAUCAGAUUUUGCACAGUGCCUUUUAGUCGUUCCUCGUCUGCUCUCAGCUCCUCAUGGUGCUUUCUUUAGGGGAUGCAGGUCCUGGGCUCUUCGCUGGGACUCUCCUUCUAUGUAAUAACUUCAAGGCUGGAGCUUUCUUCUCUAGAACAGAUGUAGUUACUUCCAAGAAAAAGAGUACUUCUCCUUCGCAAGUGCUAACUUGAACCAAUCACUCCCUUUCUAAAGACACACGCUGCCCAAAUUGAAAAAAAAAAAGAAGGCCCAGACCCCCAAAAGGCACAUCAGGAACUUCACUUCUCUAAGAAGGCAAGUAUUUAGACCCAGUGGAGGACACAUCUGCAUGGCCUGGGACCAUCUUAAAGGACGCCCAAUAAGCAGCUACUGGAGUACAGCUACCCCUGUGCUGCACAGCAGCUCUCUGUGUGUGCAGCGACUCCGGCUUGUCUAGGAUAUUGUGACUUCCAGGAGGGAAAUGUCUGAUUUUGCUACAUACCAGAGAUUUUAAUCUUUCCUUGCAGGCAGUAGGGAAAGCCUCAGUUCACUGAUUCUCCUGGGAGGAAAAGAUUUGAAUGUAGAAGAUGCAAUACUAAAAGUACUGUCAGUCUCCCUAUGAAAGAGGGAAAAGUGACAUAACCCAGGUGUGUAAACUCAGUGGGUUUAGGCUGGAAAAAAAUCUCUGGGUAUUAAUGCGGAGAUCUAGCUCUUCUUUCUCAUCUUAUUUGUGCUAUAUAUGAUUGAAGCAGUGUAGUGCAGAAAAGAGAAAGUACUAAGAAUGACACUUCUCUGCCCUAACUUGGAAGAAAAAUUGUUUUGUCCCAUGGGGGCAGGAAUUAAAAUUUUUCACUGGAUCCUAAUUCUGAGUGUAUAUUUUCUUACUGCUCCAUAAUCUCCAGAGAAUGAGCUGCCUUGGCUUUCCCACAUCCUGAGAAAGUUCAGACUACUUUCUUCACAGCGUGUCUUUUUCCCUUCCCAAGCAGUUGCGCAGGAAGAGGUGAGACCCACCAGUUUGCCUUGCUGCCUGUGAGCAAUGCUCUUGAUACGAUGACCCAGUCCAGAGUGGGAGGGGGAGGGGAAGGGCUGAACUCUUUUGGUCUUGUAGCAAAACUUUCAAAAUGGUUAACUCCCAUCCUUUGUUUUUUCUAAAGGUUUCUGGUGGCUACCACUGAUUUCCUACAAACAGAGCGCUGCGGAAGGGAGACCAAGAUAUGAGAACUUAUGAGGAGACAAACUCUGUAAAGCUUUCCUGUGGAAAAAAGUUAAGGGAUCAUUUAUGACGACUGCAUUAAACAUUACAGGUGCUACAGGGAUAAGAGGAAACCUAUGGGCUGGCCUGAAGUUUUUUACUCAUACAAAUCUUUUGACUUCCCUUUGCUGCCACAUUCAUGUUAGGAGGGAAGAAGGCAACUCUGUUGUCCUGCAUUGCGGAGAGGUGUGCUCCAGCUCUCGCACUGGGACCUUCCUCGUGUUGUCCAUCAGUCAUGCUCACCGCUCUGACCUCCUGGGAACAACCCCGUAGCUUGAGUUGCUUCCACUCCUUUGUGUCCGAAGGGCUGAGACAGGUACUUUCUGCCGUGGUUCGUGGUAGCUUUGCUUCCUGCUCAGUUUUUAUCCAUUGUUGUAGCAGGAGCCCUGCAUGGAUUGAGGCUCUUCAGUCCUGGAUCGAGACCCAGUGGAUCAAACUCAGACCCAGCAUACAGAUCAGUCUGUCUUCAGGCCUCAUCCCAUGUAAGUAAGUGAGAUGUCAAAGCACGUGACUCGAUCACCUUCAGUCAGGAUGGGGUUUGCAAAGAAUUCUUGUGGUCCCCAACGACAGAUCAACAAGCUGAGCUAUUUGCAUGCCAGCUCACCACCGAAAGAGCUCAGUUAUAUAUUUGGCCCAACAAGUGCUGCAAACCUUGAGAAGAUGAGGAAAUGAAGCCUUGUACAUCCACCUGACCCAGUUAAAAUCUCUCUCUGGGCUUUCGUCAGCUUGCACGUCUCGGUGGAAAUCUGCACUUCAGCGAGGGCUACACCCCUGGAGGACUGUUGCAAAGAAACAUGAGGUUCUCCAGGAUCCCGGGGAGAGCUUUUGCUCUUGUUUUGUUCACUUGUACUUUGAGCUUGUUUCCUGGCACCCACUCCUGUAAUUUGACGUCAGCUGGAGUACUUUAACACUUCUGAUGUGUCUCUGGUUUGUCUUUCCUUUCUCUUUUGUAGGCUUAGAGCUCUGAAGCCCCUCCAAGAAAAAAACAGAAACCACACUGGAAGAUGAGAGCCUUGCAUGGGUAUCGAAAGGCGUUUACGCUCAACCUUUGUUUCAUUAUGACAAGUCAGUGUCCAAAAUCAAAGCGUGCUUAUUACUUCCCAUCACUUGCUUAUAAAGUGAGACCACUGUUUUAGUAAAGUCUGUUCCCAGACUGCAGAGAAGAGGAAGCUGAUAGAUCACAGGGGUUUUCAGCCUCUGAGCGAGGUAGUUGACCGUCAUGUGCAUCGGUGAGGUCCCCAGCUGGGGAGCUGGUAGUGAUAUCACAAAUUACAUAAGUUGAGGUUUUGCGUCUGGCCGCCUUACCACGACAGAGGUUGCCACUGUAGUUAACCUUUUAAACACAACUUUCUUGAGAAAACAGAGGGUCUACUGAAGCUACCACUUCUUCCAGAAAACCAUGACGGUCAAUGACUAAGGCAUGGACAAAGGGAGCUGCAAGUUAUUUUAUUCAUUUUUUUAAUUAAAUGCAAUUGAAAUGGCAUUUCCCAAAGGUUCUGGGCCUUUGCAGAAUUUGUGAAAAUGCAGCAAAAUGAGGCCAAUUCCCUGAUGUAAAGUUUAGGUAGUAGACUUCUGGGUAUUAACAACUUAAAAAAGGAAGAAAGAAAUUUAGCAGAAGCCACCCCUGCUUCACCAUCCUUCCAAUAAUCUAGAAACGCUAAAAAGUAGGCAAGUUUCUCAGUGCACACUAAAAUUCAACAAUCCCAUCUCUUUUACUGAGGCAGGUGGUGUUUUAGAACAGGUUACAUGAGAGAAAAUAAAUGUAGCCUCUGAGACUGUAGCCACAAAUCUGUGAAUAGUGACUUCAUGGAUUACCUUGAGCUCUGAAGAACUGUUGUCUGUAAAACCUAAACACCUCCACACCCGCUGGUGUGAGGUGAAGUAGCUCCAUAGAUUUUGAUGAUGCUGAAUCCCUUUGUGUCACGUGAAAAUCUGGCUCUUUGUGACCACAAAGUGAACAGUGCCGAGACCUGAAGAGAUGUGGUCUCAGUUCCAGGUCUCGAUCAAGACACGUGUCAGUGCAUCUGGCUACAUGCAGAAAUGCUGUGUAUGCAGUAGGUGUGCCUUUUUCUAGAUACUACCCCAACUGAGGGGUAGGUUGUCCACAGAAAAUAUUAUUAGCCACAAUUUCAGAUGGAAAGAUAUAGAUAGAUGGUUAAUAAUAAGUUUAAAAGAUGCUUAUUAGCCAAGGCAAUCUGAUUUUAGGAAAUGUUGAGUCCCAGUGCACACGUCUUGCUGGGAUGGACUGGAGAGAUGGUCUGUUAGUUACUGGUGGUUUCUAACUGCAGUAUCAUAAAGUUCCUUUCUGUAUGCUGGUAGUGUGCUUGUCGAAUAUGCCGGCCUGUGAUGCCUUUCCCCUUUCCAAAGCUGCAGUGUGAAAACCGAGUGUGUGUGAUUCACUACCAGAUGACAGGUUUGUGUCUCAGCAGCAGAGGUGGCUGAGCUGCAGCAAACACCACAGCACUGCUGUUGAGCCGAGUCUCGGUAAUGCCACGUGCAGACGUGUGAUAACUAGAAAGUAAUGCAUAUGCACUAGCUCAUCUAGAAAAUCUCAUGUGAAAAGAGAAUUCAAGUUGGUUUACCUGAGAAUAAAUGCCCCUUGGAUAAAAACUCAGCUGCCAUAUUGCUAGCUUAAAGCCAGCAGUUUUACUCUUCAGUUGUGCAAAAUGAUCACUCCCAUGUUCUUAGUUAAGUCUGGUUACACCUCAUGCCAGGCAUAUUCUUCACUCCAAACUUCAGUUGAUCAAGCAUGUCUCCUGACUAAAAUCAGUUAUACAAGAUGCAUAAUUAACUAUACAAGUCCAUUAUAACAUGAACUCCUCUGUCUCACAGGCCAAGAUUCAUAAUAGUUAGAAGCUCAGCCUCUUAACAGUCUUUCCAAUACUGAUUAUCCCCUGUUGCUUUAGCUGUAUUACAGUAACCACGGCAGUAGUGUUCCAUCCAUGGGUCCCCGGAGGUGUGUAUGUACAUACGAGAAGGCAGAAGGAGGAAUAGCAGUUUGAAAUUUGACUUCAGGCUAGAUAUUUAACUGCGGUGGUUAGGAGCGUAAAGGGCACGAUAAGAUCAUCUGUGUGAAACUGAGAGUAUGACUGCAGUUGAUUUAUGCGGCUGACAUAUGCCACUGACCUGUGUGGAUGGAAAUGUGAGCUUACAUGGUUCUUGGGUGUUUUCCUUUUCAUUAGGUGAGCAGGAAUUGUGCAUGAGCAGGCCUGGCCCAGUGUAGGCUUUUUUAAUGGAAAAUAGUAGUUGCCGCUUAAAACUCACAGAAAAAUUAGAUUUCUUUACUUUGUCUGUAUUGAGGGACAUGGGGUUGUUGUCAUCUCAAGCUUUGUAGCUAACUCUGCUGUCCUCUAGGCUCUGAUGGUCUUCCUGGGGGAUCCUUUUCUGGGUGCCUGUUCAGGUCUCCUUCUCCUGCUCUC